CGAACGCUGGCGGCGUGCUUAACACAUGCAAGUCGAACGGAAAGGCCCUGCUUGCAGGGUACUCGAGUGGCGAACGGGUGAGUAACACGUGGGUGAUCUGCCCUGCACUUCGGGAUAAGCUUGGGAAACUGGGUCUAAUACCGGAUAGGAACCAUCUUUAGUGUGGUGGUUGGAAAGUUUUUUCGGUGUAGGAUGAGCUCGCGGCCUAUCAGCUUGUUGGUGGGGUAAUGGCCUACCAAGGCGGCGACGGGUAGCCGGCCUGAGAGGGUGUACGGCCACAUUGGGACGGAGAUACGGCCCAGACUCCUACGGGAGGCAGCAGUGGGGAAUAUUGCACAAUGGGCGCAAGCCUGAUGCAGCGACGCCGCGUGGGGGAUGAAGGCAUUCGGGUUGUAAACUCCUUUCGCUAGGGACGAAGCUUUGUUGUGACGGUACCUAGAUAAGAAGCACCGGCUAACUACGUG
rnacentral:rRNA from 1 species